GCCUAAUACAUGCAAGUCGAACGGUCUUUCUAUGGAAGCUUGCUUCCACUGAGAAGAUAGUGGCGAACGGGUGAGUAACACGUGGGUAACCUGCCCAUAAGAGGGGGAUAACAUCCGGAAACGGGUGCUAAUACCGCAUAGUUUUCUUGAUCGCAUGAUCGGGAAAGGAAAGACGGCCUUUGUGCUGUCGCUUAUGGAUGGACCCGCGGCGUAUUAGUUAGUUGGUGAGGUAACGGCUCACCAAGACGAUGAUACGUAGCCGACCUGAGAGGGUGAUCGGCCACAUUGGGACUGAGACACGGCCCAAACUCCUACGGGAGGCAGCAGUAGGGAAUCUUCCGCAAUGGACGAAAGUCUGACGGAGCAACGCCGCGUGAGUGAAAGAAGGUUUUCGGAUCGUAAAACUCUGUUGUCAGAGAAGAACAAGUUGGAGAGUAACUGCUCCAGCCUUGACGGUAUCUGACCAGAAAGCCACGGCUAACUACGUGCCAGCCGCCGC
rnacentral:rRNA from 1 species